rnacentral:rRNA from 1 species
UAGGGAAUAUUGCACAAUGGGGGGAAACCCUGAUGCAGCGACGCCGCGUGAAGGAAGAAGUAUCUCGGUAUGUAAACUUCUAUCAGCAGGGAAGAAAAUGACGGUACCUGACUAAGAAGCCCCGGCUAACUACGUGCCAGCAGCCGCGGUAAUACGUAGGGGGCAAGCGUUAUCCGGAUUUACUGGGUGUAAAGGGAGCGUAGACGGAGCUGCAAGUCUGAUGUGAAAGGCUGGGGCUUAACCCCAGGACUGCAUUGGAAACUGUAGAUCUUGAGUGCCGGAGAGGUAAGCGGAAUUCCUAGUGUAGCGGUGAAAUGCGUAGAUAUUAGGAGGAACACCAGUGGCGAAGGCGGCUUACUGGACGGUAACUGACGUUGAGGCUCGAAAGCGUGGGGAGCAAACAGGAUUAGAUACCCUGGUAGU